GCAGUAGCCACGGUAAGACGGAGGGUGCUAGCGUUGUUCGGAAUCACUGGGCGUAAAGGGCGCGUAGGCGGCCUGUUAAGUCGGAUGUGAAAGCCCGGGGCUCAACCCCGGAACUGCAUCCGAGACUGGCAGGCUUGAGACCGGGAGAGGAGGGUGGAAUAUCCAGUGUAGAGGUGAAAUUCGUAGAUAUUGGAUGGAACACCGGUGGCGAAAGCGGCUCUCUGGCCCGGAUCUGACGCUGAGGCGCGAAAGCGUGGGGAGCAAACAGGAUUAGAUACCCGGGUAGUCCCUGUCUCUUAUAC
rnacentral:rRNA from 1 species